rnacentral:rRNA from 1 species
GGGGAAUAUUGCACAAUGGGCGAAAGCCUGAUGCAGCAACGCCGCGUGAGUGAUGAAGGCCUUCGGGUUGUAAAGCUCUGUCUUCUGGGACGAUAAUGACGGUACCAGAGGAGGAAGCCACGGCUAACUACGUGCCAGCAGCCGCGGUAAUACGUAGGUGGCAAGCGUUGUCCGGAUUUACUGGGCGUAAAGGAUGCGUAGGCGGAUAUUUAAGUGAGAUGUGAAAAUCCCGGGCUUAACUUGGGAACUGCAUUUCAAACUGGGUAUCUAGAGUGCAGGAGAGGAAAGCGGAAUUCCUAGUGUAGCGGUGAAAUGCGUAGAGAUUAGGAAGAACACCAGUGGCGAAGGCGGCUUUCUGGACUGUAACUGACACUGAAGCUCGGAAGCGUGGGGAGCAAAC